CAUGUCUUUUUGAUUAUUAUUUAAAGUCUGACCUGCCCUAUGAUUCGUUAAAUGGCUGCGGUACUUUGACCGUGCAAAGGUAGCAUAAUAAUUAGUUUCUUAAUUGGGAACUGGUAUGAAUGGUUGGACGAGAAAAAUACUGUCUCAAUUUAAUUUUAAUUAGAAAUUUAUUUUUAAGUAAAAAAGCUUAAAUAUAUUUAAAAGACGAGAAGACCCUAUAGAAUUUUAUAUUUAUUAUAAUUUUUAAAAGUUAAAGAAUUUUAUAUUUAAUAAUUAUAAUAAAUAUUUGGUUGGGGCAAUCGAGAAAUUAAAUUAAUUUUUUCUUUAUUUUUAACAUUAAUUUAUGAAUAAUUGAUCCAUAUUAAUUAUGAUUAUAAGAUUAAAUUACCUUAGGGAUAACAGCGUAAUUUUUUUUUAGAGUUCUUAUCGAAAAAAAAGUUUGCGACC
rnacentral:rRNA from 1 species